AGAUAACACAAGGCGUCUUGGAGAUAUCUGUUUUACAUCCUAUUAACAUCUGAACGUCAUACGACGUUUAUAAGAUAUCUUAUAAGAUAUCUUUUUCCAUAUAUCUUUAAGAUGUUAAAUAGUGACACCUUAAAGAUAUCUUUUUUACGCCCUUUAGGUCAAAUAAUUUUCAUGGUACUAUAAUGUUUAAAAAAUAGCUUAAAAUUAAAUACAUAUAAAUAUCAUUCCCUUGUAAUCGCUAAAAACGUUGAAUAUUGAACUUUUCUUACAUAUUCUAAAACUGAAUUUAUAACAAAGAAUAAUAUUUAAAAAAACAUAUGCAUGCGGAGGCGAUCCGCCAACGCGAUCGAUGAUGCAUAGUACUGAAGCAAUUUUGUAUGUUUGCUUUUCAAAAAAAAUUUAACAAUAAAAUCUUAAACCUUAAUUCAGUACGUAUUUUUGUGAAAAAAUUUUUCGUCGUACGAAAGAAUCGAACCCGGACCGCCUGGGUGCAAGCCUAGUAUGCUAGCCCCUAGACCACUGGUUGGACGCUCUACAUUACGAUGAUCUCGGGUAUCUUUGUCCUCUACAUCAUUACAUAUUAAGUUAAAAAAGGAUACAACAACUCUUGUAAACGGACUGAUACUGUCGACGCCGGCUGUCAGUUUUUCCCUUUUCUGUGUUUCUAACCAGUAACCACAUCCAUUAGUGAUUAGUCCAUUGUGUGUGCGUUACAGUUUAUAUUCUGCGGAAACCGACGGCGUGAUUUUGACUUUUUGUGUAGUGUUUUAGGAUAGAAUAUUGGUUAGGUUCGUUGAUAUACGAUUUUUAGGUUAGCCACUGCGUUUUUUAGUUUUAAGCAUUACAAUGUCGCGAAGUAAUUUACAAAAAUACUAUAUGCAGGCUAAAAGAGCCAAGCCUAACAAUGAAGAAUCACAUUCUACACCUUUAAGCUGUUUUCAUUAUAAUAAUGAGGCUUGUAGUAGUAGCGAGAGUAGUAGUAUGAAAGCUGCCGAUGUGGUGGAAAUAAAUAGCACAUUAACUCUUAACCUAUUACAAUCACAAUCUGUUUUAUGUGAGAGCGAGAAUGAGGAUUCCGAAUUUAUUGAAGAUGUUCCAGUAGAACUUAAUUUGCAACCACCAUUCUCUGAAUUUGAAUCUGAGAGUUCCGAUACUGAUAAUAAUGAAGCCGAGAAACAUAUAAAAUUUAAGUUAGCAAACUGGGCAUUAAAAUACAAUAUUUCAAACGUAGCCACUACAGAUCUACUUAAACUUUUGCAUGAUCACAUUAAUGAACCUUUACCCUUGGAUGCUCGAACGUUACUUAAUACAACAAGAAAUGUUUCGACGGAAUGUGUUCACCCAGGUGAAUACUAUCAUUUUGGUUUAUCGGCAGCCAUUCAUAAUAUUUUUAAAUGUGUAGGAACGCACAGAUUUAAAAACUCAGACCAAAUAAGCUUACUUCUUAAUAUUGACGGUCUACCUUUAGCAAAAAGUUCACACAGCCAAGUGUAUCCUAUCCUUAUAUCAAUUUUUGGACACAAAUGUGUAAGGAUGGUUGGCAUUUAUCAUGGCUAUGAAAAGCCAAAGGAUGCCAAUCUUUUUUUAAAAAGGUUUGUGCAGGAUGCUAUUGAAGUUAUUAAUAAUGGUAUAACAAUAGAUAACAACAAAUAUUUAAUAAGAAUAAAAUGUAUUGUAUGUGAUGCUCCUGCAAAAUCUUUCAUUAAAUGUAUAAAGGGUCAUACAGGGUAUUUUUCAUGUACCAAAUGUCAAAUUGAAGGCCAAUACCUAGCCAAAGUUUAUUUUCCUGAUAUUGAAAACCUCCGGUUAAGAACUGAUGAACAAUUUAGGUUGCAUGAUCAGGAUGAUGAACAUCAAAAUGGUAUAUCAAUUUUAGAGGAAAUUCCUCAUUUAAAUAUGAUCACCAGUUUUCCUCUGGACUACAUGCACUUGGUGUGCCUUGGAGUGAUGAAGAAACUUUUAUAUUUAUGGUGCUUUGGAAAACCUCAAACAAAGUUGUCUGCGGCUGCAAUUAAUGGCAUUUCACAGUCACUAAUAGACAUACGGGAAUGUAUCCCAGAGGAAUUCAAUCGAAAACCAAGGUCUAUCAAUGAAAUAAAAAUGUGGAAAGCUACAGAAUUUCGCCAAAUGCUAUUUUAUACAGGCCCACUAGUCUUAAAAAAAUUUUUAAGUACAGACCGGUACCUAAAUUUCAUUUCGUUACAUGUAGGUAUGACAAUUUUAGCAAGUGAACAUUUUCAACACCUUAUACUGUAUGCUUUGGACCUUUUAAAAUACUUUGUAAAAACUUUUCAGACAAUAUACGGGAUUGAAAAUACAUCUCAUAAUGUUCAUAAUUUAUUGCAUUUGCCUGAAGAUGUGAGACUUCAUGGACGUGUCGAUAAUUUUAGUGCAUUUGACUUUGAAAAUUUUAUGCAAAGUAUCUUAAAGUAUGUACGUAAAAGUCAUAAGCCGCUACAACAAAUUGUUAAACGAUAUUUGGAAAAAAUGUCAAGUGUUCAAAAUAAUAAAGAAGAUAUUACUACAUUUCCAUUAGCUAAAGAUCAGCUGUUAUUGGGCAUUGAUAAAAUGGAACACUUUAAAUCUUUAGUAUUUCAAAAUUUUGUUUUAAAAAUUAAUUUUCCUGAUAAUUGUUGCUGCUUGAAAAAUGGUGAGAUAAUUAAUAUCACUAGUAUUAUUAAAAUAAAUAGGUGCCUAGAGGUGGUAGGCAAACAAUAUUUGUGCAAGAAUUCUUUUUUUGAUAGACCUUGUGAAUCAGCUGAUAUUAACAUAUUUAAAGUUUGUGACAGUAACUUAGGUUCUUCGCAACACUUCAAAGUUUCAGAUAUUGAUUACAAGUGUAUGAAAUUAAAAUAUGAAGGUCAGAAUGUUAUAAUGCCAUUUUUACAUGGCUAAUUUUUUUUUUUUUACUGAUACAAUAUUUACUUAUCAGCUUUAGACAUAUAGGUACUUAGGUAUAGUUUGGUUUUUUGUGUAUGUAAGUUUAGAUUGGAUAAGACAUUUGAUAGUAUUUUGUCAUUUUUACUUUAAAUGUAAGGUACAUAACAAAUUUAUUGUCUAUCUUCAAAGUGAACAUUUUUUUAAAGUUCAAAAUGAAUUCAAAAACCUGGACAGUUGUCCAAUUUUUGGACGAUUUGACGGUGGAGGCAAUUCCGUCCACAUGGAUUCAAGGCAAUGAGUGCCAUUGGCCCUCUUUUUCAAUGGAAAAAUUACAUAAUGCUAUCAGAAAAUCCGAACCACUGAACACAUGUUGGCCAACUCAUAAAAUUAAAAUUUUUAGGAAUGCAACUUAUGGGGAUUAUUUAAAAGCGAGAAACAAAGCAAGAAUUGCAGAAAACACCAGUGAUAUCAAUACAGAACCAGAGGAUGUUGAAGUCAAAAGGAAAAGAAUCCAAAAAAUUUUAUCGAGUAGUGAGGAGUCAAUAGAUGAUACUAUUUUGCCACCCCCUCCUUCUAUUUCGAAAUAUAAAGCAAAAAAGAAGACUUCAACCUCGACUUCAACAUUUAAGGAAGUACAUAUAACACCCGGAAAUGACUUGGGAAAUGGAGUACACGAGGCGACAGAUAAUAGUUUUUUUGAAAAUAUUGAAAAUAUGCAUGAUGACAUUAAUGAUAACUACCUAGAAGCGGAAAAUAAUAAUACUUGUAAGAAUUGUCGCUGCAAAGACUGUUUGGAGAAGGAUAGGGCCUUAGAUAGGACAAACAAACAGUUAAUGCAGCAAUACCACAUUUUAAGGAGUAUGGCGACGGACAUCCUUGGAGAGGUGAGAUCCAUAAAACAAUCCCUCAGCAAAGCAGAGCGAACCCCAGAUGAGGCACCCACAAGCUUUUUUACUGAACUGGGUUGUCAAUUUCCCCUAAAUUCGGAAGAGGAGAUAAAAAUCUUCAAUACUUCCUUAGAAGAUGAGGACAACUUCAAAAAUGCUGUUAUGGAGCUUUCAAGAGUGGGUGGCUCUAACACAUACAGUUUUGUGUCGAGAACCCUUGCCUUAUUAAUAACGAACGAAUUAGCCAUUACAUAUAGUUGGUUGGGCAGGAAGGGCAAGAAAGUUUUCAAGACUUUAAAAGUUGCCAGUUUGGUAAUAGAAUCUGCUACUGUGGCCAUAAAAGAUGUCACUAAA